UACGGGGGGGGCAAGCGUUGUUCGGAAUUACUGGGCGUAAAGGGCUCGUAGGCGGCCAACUAAGUCCGACGUGAAAUCCCCAGGCUUAACCUGGGAACUGCGUCGGAUACUGGAUGGCUUGAAUUCGGGAGAGGGAUGCAGAAUUCCAGGUGUAGCGGUGAAAUGCGUAGAUAUACGGGAGGAACAUCAGUGGCGAAGGGCGGCUACCCUGGCCCAAUACUGACACUCAGGUGCGAACAGCGUGGGGAGCAAACAGG
rnacentral:rRNA from 1 species